rnacentral:tRNA from 2 species
GACCGUGUAGCUCAGUGGUAGAGCGUUCCGUUCACAUCGGAAAGGUCCCUGGUCCAAAUCCAGGUACGGUCA